UCCUGCCAUACCAUCAUGAAUGCCCCUGAUCCUGUCUGAGUCUUGGAAGGUGAGGUCUGGUUAGUAUUUGAAUGGGAGACCUCCUGGGAAUACUAUGAACUAUAGGCU
rnacentral:rRNA from 1 species